rnacentral:rRNA from 1 species
GACAGAGGAGCCAAGCGUUGUCCGGAUUGACUGGGCGUAAAGGGCACGCAGGCGGCGCGGCGCGUGGGGUGUGAAAGCGGGCGGCUUAACUGCCCAAGGUCAUCCCAUACGGCGGCGCUGGAGCCAUCCAGAGGUCGGUGGAAUUCCGGGUGUAGCGGUGAAAUGACGUAGAUAUCCGGAGGAACACCGGUGGCGAAGGCGGCUUCCUGGACCGACACUGACGCUGAGGCGCGAAAGCUAGGGGAGCAAACGGG